CUCCAUAAAAUCCCAAAAUGACUAAUUUCAAAGAACUUCUCGGUUAGUGAAAACAUUUGCAUGCCAGAAGGCGCUCGCACUCCAACUCAGCACAGGGAGGAGGCUCGGAAGGAACUGGUUAAGAGAUCAGAGUAACUUUUGAGCUAAUGAGGACACUAGGUGACAUCAAGCCCAAACACUUUCUGAACAAGUGGCUGGUCCUGAGAGGUGAUCGAGGUCACACAACUAUAAGAUAUAAGCAGGAACUGAAAAAUCACAUCUCCAGACUCAUCACUUGGACUAGCUAUGUCUCAUGAUUUUCACAUAUAUUAUACAGAAGAAGAGGAAAUGCUCAAAGAUGAUGCUUAGCUCAAGUGAGUACUCUUAAUGAAUGAGUGGAAGGGGAGGACCAUUAAGACAACUGAAACAAGAAGAGAAGCAUCAAAUUUGCUAGCAUCUUUUUAUAAGAUACCUGCUUGGGCAUAACUAUUUGUAUUCAACUGGUAACAGACUAACUUCACUUUUGAUCCUAUCGGAGUAGACAGUCUGGAAUGUGGUGAUACUCUGUAGCUAUCAAAUCUGCAGGGCUUGGCCAUGGACUUGCAUAUCAUUGCUGAGAUCACUUCUAAGGCUGAAUUGUCAUAUCCAAUGUGCUUUAUGACUAUGCUUUGAUUUGUGCUGAUGGAUCUAAGGUGUGCACCUCUGGAGGCUUUGAGGUGGCUAUACUUCAGUUGUGGAUAAAGAGGUGAAGAAGGACAUCUAUGGUGAUGCUCAGUAAUAUCUGCGAAGAACUGUGGAGACAGACAAAUAGUCAAAGGUGACUAAUGGUUCUGCAGCCUCUGCAGGAAGCAUGGCUGGGGAGGCCUCAGGAAACUUACAAUCGUGGCAGAAGGCAAAGGGAAACGAGCACAUCUUAUGUGGCCAGAACAGAAGGAAGAGAGAAAAAAAUGAAGGAGGAGAAUACAGAUGACUUUCAGAAGAAGUGUGAACAUCAAGCUGAGGAGCUUUUUUGAAGAGCAGGAUCUUUCUAUCAACAUGGGAUAGUGGAAGAUUAAAGUAGUGAUGACUACAUAUAGAAAUACAAAGUUGAAGUGAGAGACGCAAGUCUGAUACUGCAAAAGAAAAAGGACACAACAAGAAGAUGGUUGUCUACAAGCCAGGAAGAGAACCUUCACAAGGAACCAAAUCAGCGGGCACCGUGAUCACGAGACUCCCAGCCUCCAGAACUGUGAGAAAUAAAUGUCUGCUGUUGAAGCCAUCCAGUCCACAGUAUUUUGU
rnacentral:lncRNA from 10 species